rnacentral:sRNA from 1 species
GUGGAGUGGGAAUAAAGAGCCAACAAAAUAUGAAUGGGGAAUGCCGAUAUAUCAACGUUCUUCAACUUUUAAAAUGCCUGAAUUUCAUUAAAAAUGAUAUGCUUCCCUACCUUUUUCCCUACCAAAAAAGCUUGUCUACAUUGACGUAAACAAGCUUUUUUUG